CCUACGGGUGGCUGCAGUCGAGAAUCUUCGGCAAUGGGCGCAAGCCUGACCGAGCGACGCCGCGUGCGGGAUGAAGGCCUUCGGGUUGUAAACCGCUGUCGUAGGGGAGGCCGAUCCUAGGAGGAAGGGCCGGCUAAUCUCGUGCCAGCAGCCGCGGUAAUACGAGAGGCCCAAACGUUAUUCGGAAUUACUGGGCUUAAAGAGUUCGUAGGCGGUAUGACAAGUAGGGUGUGAAAGCCCUCGGCUUAACCGAGGAAUUGCGCUCUAAACUGUCGUACUCGAGGAACCUAGAGGUGAGCAGAACAGAUGGUGGAGCGGUGAAAUGCGUUGAUAUCAUCUGGAAUACCGGAGGCGAAGGCGGCUCACUGGGUUUUCUGACGCUGAGGAACGAAAGCCAGGGUAGCGAACGGGAUUAGAUACCCUUGUAGUC
rnacentral:rRNA from 1 species